rnacentral:rRNA from 1 species
UACGAAGGGGGGCUAGCGUUGCUCGGAAUCACUGGGCGUAAAGCGCACGUAGGCGGAUCUUUAAGUCAGGGGUGAAAUCCCUGGAGCUCAACUCCAGAACUGCCUUUGAUACUGGGGAUCUCGAGUCCGGAAGAGGUGAGUGGAACUCCGAGUGUAGAGGUGAAAUUCGUAGAUAUUGGAAGAACACCAGUGGCGAAGGCGGCUCACUGGCCGUGUAGUGACGCUGAGGCGCGAAAGCGUGGGGAGCAAACAGGG